rnacentral:snRNA from 2 species
UCACUUACCUGGAUGGGGUCAAUGGGUGAUCAAGAAGGUCCAUGGCCUAGGUUAGUGACCUCCAUUGCACAUAGGAGGGGUGCUACCAUAAGGUCGGCCCAAGCGGUCGAGCCUACAUCAUAAUUUGUGGUAGUGGGGGGCUUGCGUUCGCGCAGCCCCUGC